rnacentral:rRNA from 1 species
UACGGGGGGAGCAAACGUUGUUCGGAAUCACUGGGCGUAAAGGGUGCGUAGGCGGGUCUUAAGUCAGGGGUGAAAUCCUGGAGCUCAACUCCAGAACUGCCUUUGAUACUGGCAAUCUCGAGUCCGGGAGAGGUGAGUGGAAUUCCCAGUGUAGAGGUGAAAUUCGUAGAUAUUCGCAAGAACACCAGUGGCGAAGGCGGCUCACUGGCCCGGUACUGACGCUGAGGUGCGAAAGCGUGGGGAGCAAACAGG